GGAUGCGAUCAUACCAGCACUAAUGCACCAGAUCCCAUCAAAACUCCGCAGUUAAGCGUGCUUGGGCGAGAGUAGUAUUAGGAUGGGUGACCUCCCGGGAAGUUGUAACACCCGCGUCCC
rnacentral:rRNA from 1 species